CCUACGGGAGGCAGCAGUGGGGAAUAUUGCACAAUGGGGGAAACCCUGAUGCAGCGACGCCGCGUGAGUGAAGAAUUAUUUCGGUAUGUUAAGCUCUAUCAGCAGGGAAGAAAAUGACGGUACCUGAUUAAGAAGCCCCGGCUAACUACGUGCCAGCAGCCGCGGUUAUACGUAGGGGGCAAGCGUUAUCCGGAUUUACUGGGUGUAAAGGGAGCGUAGACGGCAGGACAAGUCUGGAGUGAAAUGCCGGGGCUUAACCCCGGAACUGCUUUGGAAACUGUGCAGCUAGAGUGCAGGAGAGGUAAGUGGAAUUCGUAGUGUAGCGGUGAAAUGCGUAGAUAUUAGGAGGAACACCAGUGGCGAAGGCGGAUUACUGGACUGUAACUGACGUUGAGGCUCGAAAGCGUGGGGAGCAAACAGGAUUAGAUACCCCAGUAGUC
rnacentral:rRNA from 1 species